rnacentral:rRNA from 1 species
CGUGCAGGCGGCUCGCUAAGUCUGAUGUGAAAGCCCCGGGCUCAACCCGGGAAGUGCAUUGGAAACUGGCGAACUUGAGUACGGGAGAGGGAAGUGGAAUUCCGAGUGUAGGGGUGAAAUCCGUAGAUAUUCGGAGGAACACCAGUGGCGAAGGCGGCUUCCUGGACCGAUACUGACGCUGAGACGCGAAAGCGUGGGGAGCAAACA